UAGACUUUGCUGUGAUGCCAAAUCUGUCUCUAUUAAAAUAACCAUAACAAGGAGCCACAUGGUGGCGUGUAGAGUUGAAAUGAAGUUCUCCUUUGCAAAACACUAGAUAAUGGUGUGUUCUAGACUUGUAGACCAGUUACAUCACAUAGCACAGGAGUGAACUUUUUCUUUUGCUCUCCAUAUAAUACAGAGGUCUGCACAUUGAAUUUUGUUCCUUACAUUUCAUAUAAUAAUGUUACAAAACAAUUACCUCAUGAAAACAAUAUCCACCGUAAGUUGUUGUACAAAUAGUAAGUCAAGGCAGGCAAAGUCACCAGUAAUCCCCACAAGAACAUUAGGUGUCAAAUUCCAAUAAUUAUGUAACAGCGGGUUGGUAGUGGUCGCCAUUGUUCUCACUGGUAUCUUAAUAUGUUUUUUUAUUGUUGCUAGGCUCCUCUGUUCCUGUCAGCUUCAGUAGCUCAUUGAUUAAGAUGUAUGAUUGGGUGACCAGCUGCAAGCUCUGGAUGCCAAGGGUGGAGCUUUAAAAGUACUUGAAAAAAUUGUGAUUGCCUAUUCCAUGGUAAACCUACUAAGAUUUGUGCUUUGCAUAGAGGUUUAGUUGGUCAGAGAGCUAUGCACUUUAUAGCAUCACUUUUUGCCUUCUACUGCAAAUCUGCAAAAUAAGGAAUAUGUACAAAUAUAUUUAUUUCAUAUAGACUUGAUGGCUUCCAACUUGAUGAAAGAACAAUGGCUGAGAAGGGUUUAUUUACAACUUAAUGUUUUCCAUACAACAUCCUUGCAUAGGCUAACACAUGACAUUCCUAUGCCUUGCUCCAACGGCUUUAACCAUCUUAAUUUGCUAAAUGGUGACUCGUGUUCUCUAGAGAUUUCUAAUAGUAGAUUUAAGUGCAUGAUUUCCGGUGGGGAUUGAUCCCUCAUGAAUUAAACAAAUAUGGAUUCUUUCCUUCUCCAUAUUUGUGCUUGUCACUUAUGAGUAUCAUAAGCAUUGCAAGGCCAAUGUAUCAUGUCUUGCAAAGCUGGACUUUCUGCUUUCCAGUUGGCCCGCUGAUGUGCAAAUUGAGUUUUUUUUGCUC